rnacentral:rRNA from 1 species
CACGUAGGGCGCGAGCGUUUGUCCGGAAUUAUUGGGCGUAAAGAGCUCGUAGGCGGCCUGUUGCGUCUGCUGUGAAAUCCCGGGGCUUAACCCCGGGCGUGCAGUGGAUACGGGCAGGCUGGAGGCAGGCAGGGGAGAACGGAAUUCCCGGUGUAGCGGUGAAAUGCGCAGAUAUCGGGAGGAACACCGGUGGCGAAGGCGGUUCUCUGGGCCUGUACUGACGCUGAGGAGCGAAAGCGUGGGGAGCGAACAGG